AAGUCGUAACAAGGUUUCCGUAGGUGAACCUGCGGAAGGAUCAUUAUCAAUGAUAUCCAUCAUACACCGUGAACACUUAAUUUGGGAAUGAUUUUUUAUUAAAUCUUUUCCCAAAAUUUUAAACACUAUAAUUUUUAAGCAGAGUCAAUUAUUAAAAAUAAUUUAGACAACUUUUAGCAACGGAUCUCUAGGUUCUC
rnacentral:misc_RNA from 1 species